rnacentral:rRNA from 1 species
GGGUUGUGAGGUUAAGCGACUAAGCGUACACGGUGGAUGCCCUGGCAGUCAGAGGCGAUGAAGGACGUGCUAAUCUGCGAUAAGCGUCGGUAAGGUGAUAUGAACCGUUAUAACCGGCGAUUUCCGAAUGGGGAAACCCAGUGUGAUUCGUCACACUAUCAUUAACUGAAUCCAUAGGUUAAUGAGGCGAACCGGGGGAACUGAAACAUCUAAGUACCCCGAGGAAAAGAAAUCAACCGAGAUUCCCCCAGUAGCGGCGAGCGAACGGGGAGCAGCCCAGAGUCUGAAUCAGUGUGUGUGUUAGUGGAAGCGUCUGGAAAGGCGUGCGAUACAGGGUGACAGCCCCGUACACAAAAAUGCACAUACUGUGAGCUCGAUGAGUAGGGCGGGACACGUGGUAUCCUGUCUGAAUAUGGGGGGACCAUCCUCCAAGGCUAAAUACUCCUGACUGACCGAUAGUGAACCAGUACCGUGAGGGAAAGGCGAAAAGAACCCCGGCGAGGGGAGUGAAAAAGAACCUGAAACCGUGUACGUACAAGCAGUGGGAGCACGCUUAGGCGUGUGACUGCGUACCUUUUGUAUAAUGGGUCAGCGACUUAUAUUCUGUAGCAAGGUUAACCGAAUAGGGGAGCCGAAGGGAAACCGAGUCUUAACUGGGCGUUAAGUUGCAGGGUAUAGACCCGAAACCCGGUGAUCUAGCCAUGGGCAGGUUGAAGGUUGGGUAACACUAACUGGAGGACCGAACCGACUAAUGUUGAAAAAUUAGCGGAUGACUUGUGGCUGGGGGUGAAAGGCCAAUCAAACCGGGAGAUAGCUGGUUCUCCCCGAAAGCUAUUUAGGUAGCGCCUCGUGAAUUCAUCUCCGGGGGUAGAGCACUGUUUCGGCAAGGGGGUCAUCCCGACUUACCAACCCGAUGCAAACUGCGAAUACCGGAGAAUGUUAUCACGGGAGACACACGGCGGGUGCUAACGUCCGUCGUGAAGAGGGAAACAACCCAGACCGCCAGCUAAGGUCCCAAAGUCAUGGUUAAGUGGGAAACGAUGUGGGAAGGCCCAGACAGCCAGGAUGUUGGCUUAGAAGCAGCCAUCAUUUAAAGAAAGCGUAAUAGCUCACUGGUCGAGUCGGCCUGCGCGGAAGAUGUAACGGGGCUAAACCAUGCACCGAAGCUGCGGCAGCGACGCUUAUGCGUUGUUGGGUAGGGGAGCGUUCUGUAAGCCUGUGAAGGUGUGCUGUGAGGUAUGCUGGAGGUAUCAGAAGUGCGAAUGCUGACAUAAGUAACGAUAAAGCGGGUGAAAAGCCCGCUCGCCGGAAGACCAAGGGUUCCUGUCCAACGUUAAUCGGGGCAGGGUGAGUCGACCCCUAAGGCGAGGCCGAAAGGCGUAGUCGAUGGGAAACAGGUUAAUAUUCCUGUACUUGGUGUUACUGCGAAGGGGGGACGGAGAAGGCUAUGUUGGCCGGGCGACGGUUGUCCCGGUUUAAGCGUGUAGGCUGGUUUUCCAGGCAAAUCCGGAAAAUCAAGGCCGAGGCGUGAUGACGAGGCACUACGGUGCUGAAGCAACAAAUGCCCUGCUUCCAGGAAAAGCCUCUAAGCAUCAGGUAACAUCAAAUCGUACCCCAAACCGACACAGGUGGUCAGGUAGAGAAUACCAAGGCGCUUGAGAGAACUCGGGUGAAGGAACUAGGCAAAAUGGUGCCGUAACUUCGGGAGAAGGCACGCUGAUACGUAGGUGAAGCGACUUGCUCGUGGAGCUGAAAUCAGUCGAAGAUACCAGCUGGCUGCAACUGUUUAUUAAAAACACAGCACUGUGCAAACACGAAAGUGGACGUAUACGGUGUGACGCCUGCCCGGUGCCGGAAGGUUAAUUGAUGGGGUUAGCGCAAGCGAAGCUCUUGAUCGAAGCCCCGGUAAACGGCGGCCGUAACUAUAACGGUCCUAAGGUAGCGAAAUUCCUUGUCGGGUAAGUUCCGACCUGCACGAAUGGCGUAAUGAUGGCCAGGCUGUCUCCACCCGAGACUCAGUGAAAUUGAACUCGCUGUGAAGAUGCAGUGUACCCGCGGCAAGACGGAAAGACCCCGUGAACCUUUACUAUAGCUUGACACUGAACAUUGAGCCUUGAUGUGUAGGAUAGGUGGGAGGCUUUGAAGUGUGGACGCCAGUCUGCAUGGAGCCGACCUUGAAAUACCACCCUUUAAUGUUUGAUGUUCUAACGUGGACCCGUGAUCCGGGUUGCGGACAGUGUCUGGUGGGUAGUUUGACUGGGGCGGUCUCCUCCUAAAGAGUAACGGAGGAGCACGAAGGUUGGCUAAUCCUGGUCGGACAUCAGGAGGUUAGUGCAAUGGCAUAAGCCAGCUUGACUGCGAGCGUGACGGCGCGAGCAGGUGCGAAAGCAGGUCAUAGUGAUCCGGUGGUUCUGAAUGGAAGGGCCAUCGCUCAACGGAUAAAAGGUACUCCGGGGAUAACAGGCUGAUACCGCCCAAGAGUUCAUAUCGACGGCGGUGUUUGGCACCUCGAUGUCGGCUCAUCACAUCCUGGGGCUGAAGUAGGUCCCAAGGGUAUGGCUGUUCGCCAUUUAAAGUGGUACGCGAGCUGGGUUUAGAACGUCGUGAGACAGUUCGGUCCCUAUCUGCCGUGGGCGCUGGAGAACUGAGGGGGGCUGCUCCUAGUACGAGAGGACCGGAGUGGACGCAUCACUGGUGUUCGGGUUGUCAUGCCAAUGGCACUGCCCGGUAGCUAAAUGCGGAAGAGAUAAGUGCUGAAAGCAUCUAAGCACGAAACUUGCCCCGAGAUGAGUUCUCCCUGACCCUUUAAGGGUCCUGAAGGAACGUUGAAGACGACGACGUUGAUAGGCCGGGUGUGUAAGCGCAGCGAUGCGUUGAGCUAACCGGUACUAAUGAACCGUGAGGCUUAACCUUACAACGCCGAAG